rnacentral:rRNA from 1 species
CUAUGCGCCUUGCCAGCCCGCUCAGAAACUUAAAGGAAUGACGGGGCCCGCACAAGCAGCGGAGCGUGUGGUUUAAUUCGAUGUUACGCGAAAAACCUUACCCGGGCUUGACAUGCAGGUAGUAGGGAACCGAGAGGGGACCGACUCUUCGGAGAGCCUGCACAGGUGCUGCAUGGCUGUCGUCAGCUCGUGCCGUGAGGUGUCCGGUUAAGUCCGGUAACGAGCGCAACCCUCGCCAUAUGUUACAAGUGUCAUAUGGGACUGCCGAUAUAAAGUCGGAGGAAGGUGGGGAUGACGUCAAGUCAGCAUGGCCUUUAUGUCCGGGGCUACACACACGCUACAAUGGCCGGUACAAUAGGUAGCAAGACCGCGAGGUGGAGCCAAUCCUAAAAGCCGGUCUCAGUUCAGAUUGCAGGCUGCAACUCGCCUGCAUGAAGCUGGAAUCCGUAGUAAUCGCGUUUCAACAGAACGCGGUGAAUACGUCCCUGCUCCUU